rnacentral:rRNA from 1 species
UACGUAGGGGGCUAGCGUUGUCCGGAUUUAUUGGGCGUAAAGAGCGUGUAGGCGGCCAGGUAGGUCUGGUGUGAAAACUCGAGGCUUAACCUCGAGAUGUCAUCGGAAACCAUCUGGCUAGAGUCCGGAAGAGGAGAGUGGAAUUCCUGGUGUAGCGGUGAAAUGCGCAGAUAUCAGGAAGAACACCAUGGCGAAAGCAGCUCUCGUGGGACGGUACUGACGCUGAGACGGCGAAAGCGUGGGGAGCGAACAGG